UUUUUUUUUUUUUUUUUUUUGGCUUCCGGGCGCGGCGUUUUCAGUCUCGUGUGUGUUUAACUGUAUUUAAUAUAUAUGUUUGCUCUUCUCUCGUUUUCUUUACGAAUGAACCUGCCCUUCCGCCUGGCGCGCCCCAGACCUCCCCCGCAUCGCAGGCACCCGGUCGGGUGCAGGCGAGCGCACGCAGGCGGUUGAAGACGCCGGUCCUGGUGCCGCUGGGAUGCGCGGGGCCGCGGGGAGACGACGACGAGGGAGCCGGGCCUCCAGCUCAAGGUCUGCCGGAGCCACUAACCCUGUGGAUCUAACGCGCAGCCGGUGUCUCGGCUCCCCAUCUUGCCGCCACUCUGCACCGGGGUGGGUUUCUUUUCAGGAAGGCCCUUCCCGAAGGAAGUCUGAGGCUUUUGAGGACGAUUUGCCAGGGCAGGCCCUUUAAUGGAGCGAGAUGUGUGGCCCCAGCCUCAGCUCCUCAUGCUUCCAAGAGCAACACUGAGAGGUGUGGACCAGUGGGAGUGAGUGGCAGGCCCUCCCGCAGCUGUUGGGCACCUGAGCCCCCCACAAGCCCAUUCCUGAUCCUUCUCUCAUCUCAAAAUCGGGCCUGAUGGCACCUGUAUCACAUCUUGGAAGCACCAGAGACAAGAAUCACAGAGAAAGCUUAUGGCUGCACCCUGCUGCUCUGCCAAGCACCGGGCCCGAGCCAUGGCCGCAUGAAUACGCUCAUUUGAGGGCACUGAAUCCACAGGUGACGUUCACAUCCAUGCGGGCAAGCCAGACAAUUAAGCGUCGCCCUGAGACACACCCCUUUCCUUCGGCAGCCACCUCCAUGGGGUCAGCAACCCCUGCCAAGCUUACCCCUGAACAGCCACCAGCAAAUCUACUGCUCGCUGUCUCCUGCUGUCCUGGAUCACGGCGACAGCCUCCUGGUUUGUAUGCCUCAGCCCCCUGCAGACUUAGACAUAAAUACACGUGUGUGUGUGUGUGUGUGUGUGUGUGUAUUUCAUUCUCUUCCAUAUUUAUUACUUCAUGAGGCAUAUGGAAUAACAUGAGGCAUAGGUAAGGCUUAAGGAUUCAAGAUCAGACCAACACUGAUGGACUCACGGUGUAAGGUCAAGGGUUGGAACAUCGAGUCUCUCUGAUCUCAACCCCUCUUUCCCACAGGUAACGACGCUACUGAAUCUGGGAUUAGCCACCCUUUGUCUUCCGAGUGAGUACUCCCUGAACCAUAUGUAGUUCAAGGUGGGAAGUUAUAGUGCAUUUAUUUCUGAAAGUUGCAAUUUCCCCCUCCUAGUUGUGUCUAGAGAUUCACACACACACACACACACACAAGACACACACACAGAGAGAGGAAUAUUAUACAGCAAUAAAAAUGAAUGACAAUAAAAUUACCCUACUCA
rnacentral:lncRNA from 1 species